rnacentral:rRNA from 1 species
UACGGAGGAUGCAAGCGUUAUCCGAAAUGAUUGGGCGUAAAGCGUCCGCAGGUGGCAAUGUAAGUCUGCUGUCAAAGCGUCUGGCUCAACCAGAUACAGGCAGUGGAAACUACAUAGCUAGAGUAAGGUAGGGGUAGAGGGAAUUCCUGGUGUAGCGGUGAAAUGCGUAGAGAUCAGGAAGAACACCGGUGGCGAAGGCGCUCUGCUGGACCUUAACUGACACUGAGGGACGAAAGCUAGGGGAGCGAAUGGG